UACGAGGGGGGCAAGCGUUGUUCGGAUUUAUUGGGCGUAAAGGGUGCGUAGGCGGUUUGGCAAGUCUUGUGUGAAAUCUUCGGGCUCAACCCGAAGCCUGCACAAGAAACUGCCGGGCUUGAGUACGGGAGAGGUGAGUGGAAUUUCCGGUGUAGCGGUGAAAUGCGUAGAUAUCGGAAGGAACACCUGUGGCGAAAGCGGCUCACUGGACCAUAACUGACGCUGAGGCACGAAAGCUAGGGGAGCAAACAGG
rnacentral:rRNA from 1 species